GAUGAAGAACGCAGCGAAAUGCGAUAAGUAAUGUGAAUUGCAGAAUUCAGUGAAUCAUCGAAUCUUUGAACGCACCUUGCGCCCUUUGGCCAUUCCGAAGGGCAUGCCUGUUUGAGUAUCAUGAACACCUCAACCCUUUAUGGUUUUCCAUGAUGAGCUUGGACUCUGGGGGUUUUGCUGGCUCACAGUCGGCUCCUCUAAAAUGAAUCAGCUUACCAGUGUUUGGUGGGUAUCAUGGGUGUGAUAACUAUCUACGCUUGUGGUUUUUCCACCAGGUAACCUUCAGCAGUGGAGGUUCGCUGGAGCUCAUAGAUGUCUCUCCUCAGUGAGGACAGCCCUUUGAAUGUUUGAUCUCAAAUCAGGUAGGACUACCCGCUGAACUUAAGCAUAUCAAUAAGCGGAGGA
rnacentral:misc_RNA from 1 species